GGAUUGUGGCUCAGCGGUAGAGCACUUGCCUAGCAUGGGCAGGUCCUGGGUUUGAUCCUCAGCACCA
rnacentral:tRNA from 1 species